rnacentral:rRNA from 1 species
CAAUAGCGUAUAUUUAAGUUGUUGCAGUUAAAAAGCUCGUAGUUGGAUUUCUGCUGAUCGCUGUCGGUCUGCCGUCAGGUGUGUACUGGCAGUGUUUGGCAUCUAUUCGAGAUUGGGUGUCCACUUGAUUGUGUGCACUCGAUGUCGGAGCUAAUACUUUGAGAAAAUUAGAGUGUUCCACGCAGGCGCGUGCCUUGAAUACUGCAGUUUGGGAUAUUGGAAGGCCGAUUGAGCUUUCUUGUUGGUUCUCGGUUUGAUCGGAAUGAUUAAUAGGGAUAGUUGGGGGCAUUCGUAUUCAACUGUCAGAGGUGAAAUUCUUGGAUUUGUUGAAGACGGACUACUGCGAAAGCAUCUGCCAUGGAUGUUCNCAUUG